rnacentral:rRNA from 1 species
GACGAACGCUGGCGGCGUGCUUAACACAUGCAAGUCGAACGGAAAGGCCCUGCUUUUGUGGGGUGCUCGAGUGGCGAACGGGUGAGUAACACGUGAGUAACCUGCCCUUGACUUUGGGAUAACUUCAGGAAACUUGGGCUAAUACCGGAUAGGAGCCCCUGCUGCAUGGUGGGGGGUGGAUAGUUUCGGGGGUUGGGGAUGGUCUCGCGGCUUAUCAGCUUGUUGGUGGGGUGGUGGCUUACCAAGGCUUUGACGGGUAGCCGGCCUGUGAGGGUGACCGGCCACAUUGGGACUGAGAUACGGCCCAGACUCCUACGGGAGGCAGCAGUGGGGAAUAUUGCACAAUGGGCGGAAGCCUGAUGCAGCAACGCCGCGUGCGGGAUGACGGCCUUCGGGUUGUAAACCGCUUUCGCCUGUGACGAAGCGUGAGUGACGGUAAUGGGUAAAGAAGCACCGGCUAACUACGUG